UCCUACGGGAGGCAGCAGUCGGGAAUAUUGCGCAAUGGAGGAAACUCUGACGCAGUGACGCCGCGUAUAGGACGAAGGUCUUCGGAUUGUAAACUAUUGUCGUUAGGGAAGAGAAAGGACAGUACCUAAGGAGGAAGCUCCGGCUAACUACGUGCCAGCAGCCGCGGUAAUACGUAGGGAGCAAGCGUUAUCCGGAUUUAUUGGGUGUAAAGGGUGCGUAGACGGGAAAUUAAGUUAGUUGUGAAAUCCCUCGGCUCAACUGAGGAACUGCAACUAAAACUGGUUUUCUUGAGUGUUGGAGAGGA
rnacentral:rRNA from 1 species